rnacentral:rRNA from 1 species
CGUAGGGUGCAAGCGUUAUCCGGAAUUAUUGGGCGUAAAGAGCUCGUAGGCGGUUUGUUCGCGUCUGCUGUGAAAACUGGAGGCUCAACCUCCAGCCUGCAGUGGGUACGGGCAGACUAGAGUGCGGUAGGGGAGAGUUGGAAUUCCUGGUGUAGCGGUGGAAUGCGCAGAUAUCAGGAGGAACACCGAUGGCGAAGGCAGAUCUCUGGCCGUAACUGACGCUGAGGAGCGAAAGCAUGGGAGCGAACAGGAUU